GGGGGUGAAGGAGAGAAAAGAUAGAGAGAGAAGAAGAGAGAGGGGGUGAGAAAGGGGAAGACCGGAGGGGUGGUGAAGGAGAGAAAAGAUAGAGAGAGAGAAGAAGAGAGAGUGGUGAGAAAGGGGAAGACAGGAGGGGGGGGGAAGGAGAGAAAAGAUAGAGAGAGAGAAGAAGAGAGAGAGGGGUGAGAAAGGGGAAGACCGGAGGGGUGAAGGAGAGAAAAGAUAGAGAGAGAGAAGAAGAGAGAGAGUGGUGACAAAGGGGAAGACAGGAGGGGUGGUGAAGGAGAGAAAAGAUAGAGAGAGAAGAAGAGAGAGGGGGUGAGAAAGGGGAAGACCGGAGGGGUGGUGAAGGAGAGAAAAGAUAGAGAGAGAGAAGAAGAGAGAG
ensembl:lncRNA